ACGAACUCAUCGAGAGUCUGUUGAUUCUGGUUGAGGAGCAAGUUGAGUAUGUUGAGGUCGACAGUGGCGCCCAAAUUGUCAAUAUUACUGAUGAAGCAGUAGGUGCGGCCUUCUUUGAUGAACUUCUGGAGGAGGCCGGAAUUGUGGAAAGACUCG